rnacentral:rRNA from 1 species
AGUGAACGCUGGCGGUAGGCCUAACACAUGCAAGUCGAACGGCAGCACAGUAAGAGCUUGCUCUUACGGGUGGCGAGUGGCGGACGGGUGCGGAAUACAUCGGAAUCUACUUUUUCGUGGGGGCUAACGUAGGGAAACUUACGCUAAUACCGCAUACGACCUACGGGUGAAAGCAGGGGAUCUUCGGACCUUGCGCGAUUGAAUGAGCCGAUGUCGGAUUAGCUAGUUGGCGGGGUAAAGGCCCACCAAGGCGACGAUCCGUAGCUGGUCUGAGAGGAUGAUCAGCCACACUGGAACUGAGACACGGCCCAGACUCCGACGGGAGGCAGCAGUGGGGAAUAUUGGACAAUGGGCGAAAGCCUGAUCCAGCCAUACCGCGUGAGUGAAGAAGGCCUUCGGGUUGUAAAGCCCUGUUGUUGGGAAAGAAAAGCAGCAGGUUAAUACCCGGCUGUUCUGACGGUACCCAAAGAAUAAGCACCGGCUAACUUCGUG